rnacentral:rRNA from 1 species
CGAACGCUGGCGGCGUGGCUAAGGCAUGCAAGUCGUACGGGACUUCCUUUGUAGCAAUACCGAGGGAGUUUAGUGGCGGACGGGUGAGUAAUACAUGGGUAACGUACCCCGGACACAGGGAUAGCGGCGCCCCGCAAGGGGCUUUAGCGAAAGUGCCGGUAAUACCUGAUGAUAUCCCGAUUCGGCAUCGGAUGGGGAUCAAACGGUGGGGACCUUCGGGCCUACCGGUCUGGGAUCGGCCCAUGCCCUAUCAGCUAGUUGGUGAGGUAACGGCCCACCAAGGCUAAGACGGGUAGCCGGCGUGAGAGCGCGACCGGCCACAUCGGGACUGAGACACUGCCCGGACACCUACGGGUGGCUGCAGCAACGAAUAUUCCGCAAUGGGCGCAAGCCUGACGGAGCGACGCCGCGUGGGGGAUGAAGUCCUUCGGGAUGUAAACUCUAAUAGUAUGUCAGGAAGCAAGUCGGUCUAAUACGCCGGCGAGUUGACCGACAUACGAAAGGGGCGGCUAACUCCGUGCCAGCAGCCGCGGUAGGACGGAGGCCCCGAGCGUUGUUCGGAAUCACUGGGCUUAAAGCGCGUGUAGGCGGGACGGUAAGUACCUUGUGAAAUCCCCGGCUUCAACCCGGGAACUGCUCGGUAUACUGCCGUUCUUGAGGCAGGUAGGGGUCGCUGGAACCUUAGGUGGAGCGGUGAAAUGCGUAGAUAUCUAAGGGAACGCCUGUGGCGAAAGCGGGUGACUGGGCCUGUCCUGACGCUGAGACGCGAAAGCGUAGGGAGCAAACGGGAUUAGAUACCCCGGUAGUCUACGCCGUAAACGAUGCGCACUAGGUUCGAGAGCCUCUGACGGUUUUCGAGCCGAAACAAAAGCGAUAAGUGCGCCGCCUGGGGAGUACGGC